UGCCAGCCGCCGCGGUAACACGGGGGGCGCAAGCGUUAUUCGGAAUUAUUGGGCGUAAAGGGCGCGCAGGCGGUCUUGUCCGUCAGGUGUGAAAGCUCGGGGCUCAACCCCGGAAGUGCACUUGAAACAGCAAGACUUGAAUACGGUAGAGGAGAGAGGAAUUCCUGGUGUAGAGGUGAAAUUCGUAGAUACCAGGAGGAACACCAGUGGCGAAAGCGGCUUCCUGGCCCGAUAUUGACGCUCAUGUACGAAAGCGUGGGGAGCAAACAGGAUUAGAUA
rnacentral:rRNA from 1 species